UACGUAGGGUGUAAGCGUUGUCCGGAAUUAUUGGGCGUAAAGAGCUCGUAGGCGGUUUGUCGCGUCUGCUGUGAAAAACGCGAGGCUCAACCUCGCGCCUGCAGUGGGUACGGGCAGACUAGAGUGUGGUAGGGGGAGAUUGGAAUUCCUGGUGUAGCGGUGGAAUGCGCAGAUAUCAGGAGGAACACCGAUGGCGAAGGCAGAUCUCUGGGCCAUUACUGACGCUGAGGAGCGAAAGCGUGGGUAGCAAACAGG
rnacentral:rRNA from 1 species